UACUUUUCUUUGGAUAUUUUUACAGUAUUAAUGUUGAUCUACAAGAAAAUGUUAUCUGAGGAAGGCAUAAGUUUGAUGGCCAAAGAAAAGAAAAUAUGUUGGAGACAAAGGAACACAGAAAGUUAACAGAUAGCCGGUAUGCAACCUUCCACAAUUCUGAACUACAGUUGCCGGAAAAACAGAGAUAUCAGACGACCAUCGGCUUUUUAUUUUAUCUACCCAACUUAGCAGCACAAUGGUUUACAGCACAAUUGGACAUUUCGACAGGCCGGCUAUUGAAAACUUUAGGAAUCCUUUUGAUAUCAUUUAUUAUGGAGAUUUCACUCUGACCAUUGAGGAAAACACUGCAGACGUUCACACAGAAGGCAAGCUAAUGCUGACGCGUGGCAAGAUGGGCACCAUCCUCAAUUUCAGUGAGCCAAGACAACUUAUAAGAAUAUAUUUCCAGAGAAGGCGAUGUUUUAUCUUCAGGAAACCUGCAAAACAAAACCGUAUUUUCAAGCUGAUGGAAGUACCAAGAGACUGAUUUGAAACCAGAGUUCCUGCAGACUCUGGACUCCUUUUGAGACUAUAUUUUCUCUUUUGAGCCAAAACAAUUGAAGUAAACAUUGAUUGUAAAUAUGU
rnacentral:lncRNA from 1 species